GUACACGCUGUGACUAGCAUAUCAAUAAGCGGAGGAAAAGUAAACUAACAAAGGAUUCCCUCAGUAACGGCGAGUGAAGCGGGAAGAGCUCAAAUUUGAAAUCUUAAAGGUCUACCUUUCGACGAAUUGUAGUUUAAAGAAGUGUUUUCUGCUGAAGUUUUGGUAAAAGUUCUUUGGAAUAGGACAUCAUAGAGGGUGAGAAUCCCGUAUUUGACCAUUAUUUUCAGCUUUGUGAUACACUUUCAAAGAGUCGGAUUGUUUGGGAAUGCAGUCCAAAAUGGGUGGUAAAUUUCAUCUAAAGCUAAAUAUUGGCGAGAGACCGAUAGCGAACAAGUACCGUGAGGGAAAGAUGAAAAGAACUUUGAAAAGAGAGUUAAACAGUACGUGAAAUUGUCAAAAGGGAAGCGUUUGACACCAGUGUUGUUAUCUCGAAAAUCAAUUAAAAAUGGCUCGAUUUUGUAUUGCUGAGACCUUAAAAGCUCACUGUACAUUUUUCGUGUCUUUUUUAAUGCACUUUUCGUUUAACAAGUCAACAUCAGUUUCUUUUGUUGUAAAAGGGUCAUUGGAAGGUGGCUCUCUUUUCGGAGAAAGUGUUUAUAGCCUUUGGCCUCUGCAAUCGGAGAGACUGAGGUCUGCAGCGUAGACUCUUCGGGGUUAGAUACAUUUGUGCUAAGUUAUAGCUUUUUAUAGACAACUUGUUGACAAUAAUUAGUCUUGUAGCUUACUCGCUUAUGCUAUUUUACCUACGCUUAGGAUGUUGAGUAGCGACAUACGCAC
rnacentral:rRNA from 1 species